GCUGGGCGUGGUGGUGGGCGCCUGUAAUCCCAACUACUCAGGAGGCUGAGGUAGGAGAAUUGCUUGAACCCAGGAGAUGGAGGUUGCAGUGAGCUGAGAUCAUGCCACUGCACUCCAGCCUGGGUGACAGAGCAAGACUCUGACUCAA
ensembl:misc_RNA Metazoa_SRP Metazoan signal recognition particle RNA